GAUCUUCAACUGUCACCCCUAGUCUACUGAAUCCAUAUUUUGCCAUAAUUUUGGCUACUCUCAUGUUGGCCCUGAUCAUCAUUGGAGUCCCAGGAAUUUCAAACUCUGCUUCAAGAGAAAUGUGGACACCUUGGGGAAAAUUAACAGACUUUCAUGGUCAUAGAGCAUCUACUCCUUUCAGAAUGCCAGCAAAUGCACACAAGAGCUCCCAAACACUUCUUACAAUCAGGGGCAAGAUGCCCUUCCAUGCACCAAAAACCAAGGUGGAAAAGCUCCUGCCAACCUGAGCAGCACAAGGCAGAGGGGAGGCAGCGGCUGACCUCCUGGGCAACCUGCAAUGACAACCUGACAGCAGACCGGCUGGACUCUCCAGACUGCCGCCAGAUAUGUCACGGGAUGCUUCUCAGGCUCAAGAAUUUAAUAUUCUUUACAGAAAAUAAAGAGUUGGAUUCUGA